CUGCGGGGUGGGUGGUGAGACUGCGCCAGCGCCGCCAGGACCCCCAACAUAGAGCGCGGAGCUCGCUCUCCCCCACGCCAUCUGGGCCCUCUGCAAUCGCGGUGUCCCAGGCCCGCCCCGCCUCGUGCGCGGCCCUCCCUGGCUCUGUGCCCAGCACUGCCCAGGCAGCGGACAGAGGGGCGCAUGGGACAGCGGCCUGGGGCCGGGGAUUGCCGGGCACGCGGGGAUCCGGGACGCACGCGGCGGACCCGGAGGCGAGCUCUUCCCCCUCCCCCGCGGCCGGGAGCUCGAGCCGCCGUGACGUCACGGGCCACCCGCCAGCCCUGAGCUCCGCCGGGCAGAGCGCGUGCGGCCGCCGAGCACAUGGGCCCACGGGCCGGGCGGGCUGGGGGCGACCGGGAAGAGGAGGAGCAGUCAGGAGCCGCGAGCAAGGAUGGACACCCGUACCUCCCGGAGCCCCCCAGUGGAUUUUCACGCGGAAAGGAUGUUGGCCCGUCCUGGUGACCCGUGGGACAAGGCUGGAUCCACCCUCCAGCCUGAUCUUCGGACCAGAAGGAGGUUAAAAACAUGCCGCUCAACACAGCUGUGCUGCCAGUUGCAAGGAGCCUCAUUCUAGAUCGUUCCUGAGCCUGAUGGAUUUACAGUGAUGUCCAAAUCUCCUGGGGAAUAAGGAGACCACUGGUGGAAGCUCGCCCUGGAAUUACACACACCUGGCACAUUUUAGGAUGGUACAAGGGAUUUUAAGGAAGACCCUGGCGGAGGGCUCCGUGGUUUCUUCCAGCCUGGAUGCCUUCAGGGGAUGCACAGAGGACCUCAGCGGCCAGCUCCCUCUGGCUCCCUCUGAAACAAUCUGGCUACACCUGGGAUCUAAGUGCUUUUCAUCUGAGAAAAUGCAUCUCUAUUCAGCCCCUCGGGACUUCCCUGAAGGAAAGAUAGGAUAUUUGAGGUGGCCUGGGGAGCUUUUCAUUCCUGUGAUCUUGUAGAAGUCUCCUGAUGGUUCCCCACAGUGUGUCUGCAUCCCAGUCACAGCAUGGACUGUAGCCAGACCACCUGCAGAAUCCCGCUUUGGACAUCAAUGAGCAGAGCAGCGCUGGGUUGGACAAUGGGCACAAACAUGAUAUUCAGAGGAGAUGCUACUUGCUUUCAGAUGGUCGCUUCAAAGGAAAGCUAUGGAGAAGUCACUCUCUUUCUGCCUGUGUGAACAAGUGCGGUUUAGCAAGGCACUAGGAGACACUAUCCUCAACUUUAAUUGCAGCCGCCACUAACUAAAAGCCAGACAAAUCCACUGAAGGGAGAAACCAGAUCUUCUCUCUUCCUCCUUGCCCUGUGAAAUCUGCACAUCGUUGACAGAAGGUUGAUUUAAAAUUACACUAAUUGACAGUGAAAGACUUCAUAUAAUCCUGUUUAUAGGACCUCCAAUAAUGUUGAAAGAUCAAAUAAAAAUCCUACCCAGGCAAUUUUCCGAAGCCGUCAUAGACUGUAACAGAAAUGAUUUAGAUGAAUGAACUUCACACUUUCCACAAAAUGUGAAUUUGCAUUUUACACCAAGCCCAUCAGUCACCAGGCCUGCUCCAAAAGACCAAGUACCUGCAUAUUAUGGGGAAUCAUUGUAUUUACAUCCUUACCUAAAUGUGGUAAUAAGCUGUGCCUAAAACCCUGUCACAAUCACAUUGGGACCAGGAAUUCAUGACUCCAGACAUUCCCAGCCCUGCUAACUGACUGCUCAAUGAGCAACUUGAAAAGGCCCCUCAUUUGGAGAAAUUUUCAAAAGGGUGUGUCCUCUGUGCCAUCAAACCAAUCUCAGUUAUAACUUCCAGGCUGGAGGCACCAUGGUCUCCUUCCCUGAUCCUGGCUCCCUGCGGCUGCAAGGAAGCAAGGAGUUUGAUGGUUUUCCUCCAUGGCCACGUGCUCAGGGCCUCCUCAGGUGCUUGUCCUGCACCAGUGGUCUGCACGGAGAGCAAACACAAAGACACAGCUUUGCAAGCUUAUUUAAUCUAGAAUCUGACUUUCUUGCUGAAUUUGAGUUGAGGAGGAAAAAGUAGGGAACUGGCUGUUCCCUGUAAGAAAGAGGCAGGUUGACGUAGAAAGGCUCAGAAUCAGAGCUGGAGUAAGAAAAUCCAGGUGGAAAUGAAGACUGCCUCCCAGCCCUUUCUUCUGUGAAUGGAGAGAUCAGGAUGCUGGAACAGAGUGAGGGCGACUGUGGUGGAGGGUGGAGAGGGGCUCAACCCACGGACCCCAAGCACAUGAGACAGGUGAGAAUACUGGAUGGACGGCUGUUACGAAAGCUUUCAAGGCCUGCUGCUUCCCUGGGCUCGGAAGGUCUGCCUCGGAGUGUGCUCCAUCCUGGAGGCAAGGGGAACCCAAUGGCAUCAGGUAAGGGGCACCUUUUCUACCAAGCAUGAGGCUCUGGAGUGCCAGGAUAAACAGUGAUAGGAAGGAAAAGCCACACAGGAGCCAGUGAGGGAAGAAAGCAUGGGAGCCAGUGAGGUAGAUGGCAGAGGGCUUGAGCCAAGGUAGAGUAGGCGUCAUACCGAGGAUGGAAGAAGAGAAAGAUGGGGAGUGGGAGUCCAUGCGUGGAAUAACAGUGACCUCACAGUCUUAUGGGGCUAUCACGGGAAUAGCUGGUGGCAACCUGAGAGAUAAUACUAGAACAAUGUCUCGAGCUCAGUAAGUACUUAAGAAAUAAGAGCAUUUAUAAAAUGAGAAUUACCCUCACUUGCUGUUGUUUUUCCCUAAAGAAUUAAAAAAAAAAUUUUUUAAAAAGACAAUAGAUACAUAUCUGCAGCCAGAGUAUAUGGAACACAGUUAAAUUCUUGCCAGACACUUCAGGAUUAGAGGAUGCCUUUUAUCAGGGUUGAUGUUGGCUGUCAGUGCUCAGUACUAGAAAUGAGUUUUGAUUAUAAGAAUCCAUAGCUGGUAUAGAUUCUGAAUAACUAAAAAUGUGUCACUUAUGAUUGUUACUAUUCCAUGGAUGCUUUCUAUAUUAAUCAGAGUAAAGAUGAGCUGCUGCUAUAACAAACAAUCCUCUAAAUUAUAUUUUAACACAGGAAGGUUUUUCUCUUACAGAAUCCAGUGUGGAUAGUAUUGAUUGGUCAACUCUUUCCAAAUAGCAAUUCAAGGACAUAACCUCCUGUGACACUGGCAUCUACAAAGUGGCACCAUUGUCCAGAAGGAGUGGAAAUACAGUGUUUCACAAGCAACUACUGGCAUUGGGCACUGUGUAGUCAGCUUUUUGUUGUUGUGACAAUACUUCAACACUAACAAUUUAAAGGAAGAAGAAAAUAUUUUGGUUUAUAGUUUCAGAUUUUCAAUGUGUGUUCAGUUGGCUUCAUUGCUCUGGGCUUGAGGCACAGUGGGGGAAAGCUGCUCGGCUCAUGGCAGCUGCGAAGCAGAGAGGGGAAGGUUGGGGACAAGAAACACCCUUCCAGGGCACGUCUCCAGUGACCUGCUUUGUGCAACUUUGCCCUGCUGCCUGCAGUUUCCACCAUCUCCCAGGACUCCAUUCAGCUACCGAUGGGUUAAUCCACCAAGGAGGUCAGAGCUCUGAGGAUCCAAUCACUUCCCACAAGCUCCAGUUCUGAACAUUGUCACACUGAGGACCAAACCUUUAACACCCAAGUCUUAGGGGACAUUCCAGAUUCAUACCAAAGAGGCACAUUCUUCUGCCUACAUUCCAUUGACCAGAUUAGUCAUAUGGCCCAACCCAGGUGCAGAAGAGCUUGAAAACAGUUGCCCUCAAUAUCCACAAGGAAGUAAAAUAUCUGGUGAACACACAGGAACAUAAUUUAUGUGUGCAGACAUUGCAGGCAUUAUCUCAUUUAAAUCUGUGAGGUAGGGAUUAUUACUAUGUUCAAUUAUUUCCUUGGAGGAGACAGUAUCAAGGGUCAUAGAUCUAGUGAGUGUCAUUCAGAGAUUCCAUUAGAGGUUUGUAGGAUCAUAAGUCUUUUUGACUUACUAAUGAUCCAAAUGGUCAUGAAUCAUCUCUUUAUUCUGCCCCUGAGCAAGAAGGUAUGGCAUCAGGAAGGGGCUAGACAGAGUGGAGUCUGGUUACCUGGGGCAUCUGUUCCAACGCAGCUCAGUGAAUUUGGGAAGUUACUUCUCAACCUGCUGUGUCAAUUUUCCCUGGAGAAAGGAGAAACUGUUGAUUAUGAAGUUCCUUUCUAGCUUGAAAAUCCAUUUAGUUUUAUUGUUUUUACAUUUUUUUAAAGUUUGUCUAUCGGAGGAUUACCUCUGUGUCCUUUUGAAUGGUCCUUACAGAAGGUAGAGGAUAUUGGGGAAACGCUCUGUUGGAAUCAUAUCCACACGGAGUGCUCCGCACCUCCUCGGUUCCCUCAGCCUCUGUUCCCCUUGAAGAAUUUUCCAUCUGUUAGCAGACCCCACUGUCAAAGCAGCUGAUUCCUGCUGCUUUAGGAAAGCAUCCAGCAUGGCUUGCGUUCAACAGCCUCUUGUCUCUUUUCCGGAGCACCCUGGGAAUGUAACCUGCCAAAUCACUUUCACCCUAAACUCGGCAUGAAAUGCGCCCGUCUGGGCUUCGGAGCAGCUUAGCUAAUAAAGCAGGAGAUUGCUGAGGAAAAGCGGAUAUUUGUGCUGUUUGGGAAUUCCGUGUGCCAAGAGCCCGCCCCUCCUGGCUUCCCUGGGGGAGCUGAGGUUUUCAGGUCUAAUGUCAAGCCUGCAAGCAUGGCCCUCAGCCAGCUUCCUGAAAGGGGAUGAAAGUCCUCAUCAAAGUCCCCCCUUCCCUUCCCGUUUCUUUCUCUGUCUGAUUGAAGCAGAACUUGCCUUUUUUUUUUUUUCUCCUGCCAGAAACAGGAGGCUGUGUUCUGUUCACAGGAAUGAAGAACAGUGGCAAAAAACGAUGUUAAACAUGAUAAAAUGUUGCCAGGACAAGAUGGUGAUUUUUGUGACAUGGGAAAUCUGGGCCUGAGAUGGGUGAAAAAGUUUCAGGAUGCACUUUUUACCCUUUUUUUUUUUUUCUGAAUAAAUCAAGUGUUGCUGGUGCUAAGGGUGGAUGGGAGAUAAAAUAGAACCAGACAGAAAGAAAUGGUGGGUCACACUUUUUGCUAAAGCCCAGGGUGAUUUAACUCACUCAUUCUUUCACUUAUGCACUUACUCAUCCAUUCAUUUCCUUCCAAGUGUUUUUGUGGAGCACCUCUGCUGUAUCAGUCAUUUGUGGUUGGCAAUGGGACAAGAGUCCCCCAAUGCUCAAUUUCUAUUCUUGUCCCUCUUUACCCUUAAAUCUAGAUGCCCCCCCACACAUAAAUAUCAGAACAACCUUUCAAAACAUAAAUCAAAUAAAGUUACUUCCCCACCAAGAGCCUUUCGAUAACUAUGUCUUUGUUUUCCGUUGCUACAACAGAAAACCUGAGACUGAGUAACUCAUAAAGAAAAGAAGCACAUUUAGCUCACAGUUCUGGAAGCUGGGAAGUCCAAGAGAAUGGCACCAACACCUUCCUGGCCUCUGGUGAGGACUGCAGUGCAACAUGGCAGAACUGCCAAAGGUCCAGUGGAUGCAUGCAGAAGAGACAGAACACUAGGGACCCAUUUGCUUUAUAACGACUCACUCUGGAGGUAACUAAUCCAGUCCCACAAGAGUGAGGGUCACUGGCUUUCCUGAAUUAACUCAGUCCUGCAAGAGCGGCACGAGUCUCCUCAUUCGGGCAGAAUCCUCAUGAUUCAAAUUCCUCCUGCAGAUCCCACCACCUCUCACCACCAUUUCACUGGGAACUAAAUUUUAAAUUUUGGAGGGGAAAGACAAUAUCUAAACCAUAACAAACUUCUUAUUGCUUUUAGAAUAACCCAAACUCUGGACUACCUGUGACCUGCGGGCUCCCUCCUGUCUUGCCUGGCCCAUGUCUCUUCUGUACUCUGCUCAGCUGUUUCCAGCUGUUUCUUACCGUUCCCACCAUACUGGCCUCUGCCCAUUUUCUUGUCGACAUCAAGCUCUUUUCAUAGCAGGAAUUUCGUGCUUGCUUCUCUUGGCCUAGUCUAUUGUGGGACUGGAUCGAUCUCUCCCUUUAGGCCUCAGCUUAAAUUCGGCCUCCUCUGAGAGCACUUUUGGAUCACUUGUCUGAGUUGGUUGCCACGUCCCUUCGUCCACGACUCCAUCUCCAAUACGCUUUCCUUCCUAGGUGAUAUGGUGAUCUGUAAUAUUUUGCUUCCAGGGUCAUUGACUAUCUCCUUGUUAUGCUUUGGAUCUGGAGUGGGCCCCCAAAAGACCAUGUGUUGAAAACAUGAUCCCCAGUGCAGCAAGGUUCAGAGGCACGGAUUUUAGGCAGUGAUUGGAUCUACCUUACCAGUGCAUUAAUCCAUUGAUGGAUUAAUAAUUUGAUUGGAUUUACUGGGGCAUGGCUGGAGGAGAUGGGACACUGGGGACGUACACCUGUGGAUUAUGUCUUCCCUUCUAUCUGUCUCCAUCUCUCUGGCUCGCUCUCUUUCUUUCUCCCUCCCCCUUCCUGGCUAUAGUGAGCUGAGCAGAUUUCCUCCACCAUGAUGUUUCUGUCUUGGAACCUGCUGACCACAGACUGAACCUCUGAAACUGUGAGCCAAAAUAAACCUGCCCUUCUCUAAGAUGUUCUUGUCAGGUAUUUUGGUCACAGUGACACAAAGCUGCCCGACACCCUAGAGUGUAUGCUGUUUAGUUUUCCACUGAUGAAUAGGGUGACAAAGUAGGUCUAGAUAAAGCCUGUCCAUACUGCUGCCUGUCCGCUGGGAAGACAGAUGUGCUAGGUCAUGACCCAGAAGGAGGCAGGGUGCUAAGGCAGAAGUGCUUGGGUGGUCAGGAGGCUUCAUGAAUAAGGCGAAUUCUGACCUGGGACCUGAACAGGGUUCACAGAUGGGGGACAUGGAAUUGAUAAUGAAGGCAUCAUUUUGUGUGGGAGAGGUGGAUUGGCAAGCAGCCCUGGGCAGUGUUUGCAUGAUAGAAGGUGGAGAGGUUGUCAAUCACCCCAAGGCCUUGAGUCUAGUGAGAAAGCAUAUUCCUCCCUCUGCUGACGAUGAGCAAGAGAGUGGUGCUUCUGCAAAGAUGUCACCUACGUGGGCUCUUGAGGAGGAAGCAUCCAUUUACUACAGUGAAUUCCUGUUCUCAACAUCGUCCCCAAUUCUGUCCUUCAGGUGACCUCAAACCUGUCUAUGUGUGGCUCAGAUGUCUUCCAACGACUUGGAAGAAAAAAGACAAAAAAGAAACAACCUUGUUAUUUUAUCCCUUGAUAAUGGCAUUCAAAUAUGCCGUUUUGAAGAAGAAGGAAACUGUCAUCAAUAUUUGAUUAAGGGCUGCUUGAAGUGGCAGGAUGGUGGCAUGAGCCUGGGGAAAGCCAGGAGUUAGUCUGCUGCCCCAGAUGAAAGGCUGGUGUGAGCUGCAGCGUGAGCAGGGUCUUCGCGGCCUGGGACCUGCCCUUGUUCCUGGAGGAAGACUACAGCUGAGAGAAUAAAAUAGUGAACUGCAAAGUCAAA